UCGGGAAUUUUGGGCAAUGGGCGAAAGCCUGACCCAGCAACGCCGCGUGAAGGAUGAAGUAUUUCGGUAUGUAAACUUCGUAAGAAUAGGAAGAAUAAAUGACGGUACUAUUUGUAAGGUCCGGCUAACUACGUGCCAGCAGCCGCGGUAAUACGUAGGGACCAAGCGUUGUUCGGAUUUACUGGGCGUAAAGGGCGCGUAGGCGGCAAUUCAAGUCAUCUGUGAAAUCUCCGGGCUUAACUCGCAACGGUCAGAUGAUACUGCUUUGCUAGAGUGCAGAAGGGGCAAUCGGAAUUCUUGGUGUAGCGGUGAAAUGCGUAGAUAUCAAGAGGAACACCUGAGGUGAAGACGGGUUGCUGGGCUGACACUGACGCUGAGGCGCGAAAGCCAGGGGAGCAAACGGGAUUAGAUACCCAAGUAGUCCCUGAGCGGGCUGGCAAGGCGCAU
rnacentral:rRNA from 1 species